rnacentral:rRNA from 1 species
GACGAACGCUGGCGGCGUGCCUAAUACAUGCCAGUCGAGCGGACUUUCAAGAAGCUUGCUUUUUGAAAGUUAGCGGCGGACGGGUGAGUAACACGUGGGCAACCUGCCUGCAAGACGGGGAUAACUCCGGGAAACCGGGGCUAAUACCGGAUAAUAUCUUCCUUCGCAUGAAGGAAGGUUGAAAGGCGGCGCAAGCUGCCGCUUGCAGAUGGGCCCGCGGCGCAUUAGCUAGUUGGUGAGGUAACGGCUCACCAAGGCGACGAUGCGUAGCCGACCUGAGAGGGUGAUCGGCCACACUGGGACUGAGACACGGCCCAGACUCCUACGGGAGGCAGCAGUAGGGAAUCUUCCGCAAUGGACGAAAGUCUGACGGAGCAACGCCGCGUGAGCGAAGAAGGGCUUCGGGUCGUAAAGCUCUGUUGUCAGGGAAGAACAAGUACCGUUCGAACAGGGCGGUACCUUGACGGUACCUGACCAGAAAGCCACGGCUAACUACGUG